UCUAUGAAACAUAAACAAAUGAAUAAAAAAAUAAAUGUUGUAAGCAAUGCCAAAAAAACAAUUGAAAAUUUUUCAAAAGAUAAUAGUAAUUUUGUUAAUGCUAAACAGGAUGUUAAUUAUAAUAACAUGGAUAUGUUGACGAACAAGUGUGAACUAUUACAAAAGAAUAAAAAUAAAAAAAGCGAUAGUGUUAAUGAGUUACAUGCGCGAGUGGAAUCACGAGUGGAAUCACUAGAGCAAUCACGAGAGCAACCACGAGAGCAACCACGAGAGCAAUCACGAGAGAAACCACGAGAGAAACCACGAGUACAACCACGAGUACAACCACGAGAACAAACGAAGAGAACCACUCAUCAUGAUAAAAAGUUUGAUAACACUAAUGGUGAUAUUAUUAAAAAACGAACAGAAUCAUAUGAACACACAAAAUAUAAAGAACCUGAUUUUUUAAAAAGGUGUCCUUCAGCGAGAUUGGUACAUAGGAAUAGUCUAGUAACCUCGGAGCGUGAAAAAGUAUAUAAUAACAAUGAGAAUACAAGAUUUGAUACGUAUCAACAAUAUAGUAUAUCUGGUUGCAGCACUCCUAGACGUAGCACGUCUCAAUAUAGUAUUUCCCAAUGUAGUUUAAUAUCACUUAAUAAACAUUAUAACAAUAACUACAUUAUUGGUUCCAAAUUGAAAAAAUCAUGUUACGACAUACACGAUAGGAAAAACAUAGGAGGAGGAGUAGCAUCACACGAUAUGGAUACAUUUGUAGAUGAUAAUAGUAAAGAAUGUAUUUAUAACAAUAAGAAUGGAAUUAAAAAAGCAAAUGAACAUGGGUCGUGGUAUAAACAUAAAUAUACAACGACAGAAAACAAAUUCUUAAAUGAUAUUAAUCUUAACAAAAAUAAGUUGUCAAAUACUGUUAAUCACGUAUUGUGUAAAAAUUAUAUAACGCGUAAUGAUACUAGUGAUUGUAUAAACGACUUGUUAAAAAGUAAAGAAAAAAAAAAUAUAAAUUAUAAUAACAUUCCUAAUGAGAUAUACGAACUAAGAAAAAACCCACUACGUUGUACUAGCGAAUUUAGUUAUAGAACU
rnacentral:lncRNA from 1 species